GUUAGCCAGGAUGGUCUCGAUCUGACCUCAUGAUCCACCCAGCUCAGCCUCCCAAAGUGCUGGGAUUAUAGGUGUGAGCCACUGCACCUGGCAUUAUUUAUUAUUUAUUUGUUUGUUUAAUUUGAGAUGGAGUGCCACUGUUGCCUGGGCUGGAGUGCAGUGGCACAAUCUCAGCUCACUGCAACCUCCGCCUUCCAAGUUCAAGUGAUUCUUCUGCCUCAGCCUCCUGAGUAGCUGGGAUUAUAGGCACCCACCACUAAGCCCAGCUAAUUUUUUGCAUUUCUUUUUAGUAGAUACAGGGUUUCACCAUGUUGGCCAGGCUGGUCUCAAACUCCUGACCUCGUGAUUCACUGCUUUGGCCUAUCAAAGUGCUGGGAUUACAGGCAUGAGCCACAGUGCCUGGCUUUUAUUAUAUUUUUGAGAUGGAGUCUCACUCUUUUGCCCAGGUUAGAGUGCAGUGGCAUGAUCAUAGCUCAUUGCAACCUUGAACUCCUGGGCUCAAGUGAUCCUCCUGCCUCAGCCUCUUGAGUAGCUAGAACUCCAGAUGCCUGCCAUCAUGCCUGGCUAAUUUUUAAAUUAUUAUUAUUUUUAAAUAGAGAUGGAGCCAUGCAUGGUGGCUCAUGCCUGUAAUCCCAGCACUUUGGGAGGCUGAGGCGGGUGGAUCACGAGGUCAGGAUUCAAGACCAACUUGGCCAACAUAGUGAAACUCUAUCUCUAUUAAAAACACAAAAAAUUCGCUGGGCAUGGUGAUGUGCGCCUGUAAUCCCAGCUACUCGGGAGACUGAGGCAGGAGAACUGCCUGAACCUGGAAGGCAGAAGUUGCAGUGAGCUGAUAUUGCACCACUGCACUCUGGCUGGACUGUAAGAGUGAGAUUCCAUCUCAAAAACAAAACAAACUCGUUUUCAAAGCUACAGUCAAUACCCGGGGAUGGUUAUAGAUGAAUGUCCUCAUUUAACUAACAUUACGGACUUUUUUUUUUUUUUUUUUUGCAAUGGAGUGGCCAAGGCUGGAGUGUGAUCCACAAUGGUGUGAUCUCAGCUCACUGCAACCUCCACCUCCCAGGUUCAACUGAUUCUCCUGCCUCAACCUCCCAAGUAGAUGGGAUUCCAGGUGCCUGCCAUGACAUCCAGCUAAUAUUUGUAUUUUUGGUAGAUAUCUUGUAUUUUUAGUAUUUUAUUGUUGGCCAGGCUGGUCUUGAAAUCCAGACCUCAAGUGAUCUGCCCGCCUCAGCCUCCCAAAGUGCUGGGAUUAGAGGCGUGAGCCACCAGGCCUGGCAGUAGCUCAUUUCUAUGUCGAAAUAAUGCUCCAUUGUUUGGGUUUAUCACAGUUUGUUUAUCCAUUCAUCCAUUGAUGGACAUAAAGAUCGUUUCCACUUUUACCCACUAUCAUGAAUACUGCUACUAGGAACACUCAUAUACAAGUUUUUGUUUGAAUAUCUAUUUUCAAUCUUUUGGGUAUGUACUUAGGAGUGGAAUUGUUGGGUCAUAUGGUAACUCUAUGUUUAACUUUUGGAGGACCUGCCAAACU
rnacentral:lncRNA from 13 species